GCCAGCCCGCUCAGAAACUUAAAGGAAUUGACGGGGGCCCGCACAAGCGGUGGAGCAUGUGGUUUAAUUCGAUGAUACGCGAGGAACCUUACCUGGGCUCAAAUGUAUGUUGACGUAUUCUGAAAGGGAUACUUCUUCGGACAAUAUACAAGGUGCUGCAUGGUUGUCGUCAGCUCGUGCCGUGAGGUGUCGGGUUAAGUCCCAUAACGAGCGCAACCCCUAUCAUUAGUUGCCAUCAGGUUAAGCUGGGGACUCUAAAGGAACUGCCUACGCAAGUAGUGAGGAAGGCGGGGAUGACGUCAAAUCAGCACGGCCCUUACGUCCAGGGCUACACACGUGCUACAAUGGCCGAUACAGAGGGCAGCUACCUGGUGACAGGAUGCAAAUCUCCAAAGUCGGUCUCAGUUCGGAUCGGAGUCUGCAACCCGACUCCGUGAAGUUGGAUUCGCUAGUAAUCGCGCAUCAGCCAUGGCGCGGUGAAUACGUUCCCGGGCCUU
rnacentral:rRNA from 1 species